rnacentral:lncRNA from 1 species
UGUGGUUGUUUACAGUUGAGCACUUAUAUUUGUAAUUCAAUGGUGGAUUUGCUUUGGUUUGUUUAUUUUAUAGGAAUUGAGAGCACACACAAGUGAUGAAUACCAGGCAAUAAGAACUAAAGGAGCCAAACCUCGCAAAAGCAAGAGAAAAUCUAAUGAGGGUCGAACGAGGAGAAACGGGGAUGCAGCCGAGUCUAUGGAGAUGGAAACUUAUCCCACUGAAAUGUUGCACUAUUAGCGCACAGCACCCGAGCGACCUGUAUAUCUGCCAACUUACAGAUCAGCUGUGUAUCUUUGUUGAAUGCAUUUAUGUGUCUUUUUUGGUAUUUGUUACUUUCCCCAACCUGUAUUUUGUAGUCUUGCAUAUACUA